rfam:Haemonchus contortus, ISE/inbred ISE, WGS project CAVP01000000 data, contig: Hcontortus_7700
GGCACAAACUUGGGGUAGAGAUGAUUACUAUGGUCAGCUGAUCCUACUAAUCUUCUCUACUUCAAAUUUGGGUCC